AGAAUGAACGCUGGCGGCAUGCCUAACACAUGCAAGUCGAACGAAGCCUUCGGGCUUAGUGGCGCACGGGUGCGUAACGCGUGGGAAUCUACCCUUGGGUUCGGAAUAACAGUUAGAAAUGACUGCUAAUACCGAAUGAUGUCGUAAGACCAAAGAUUUAUCGCCCAGGGAUGAGCCCGCGUAGGAUUAGCUAGUUGGUGAGGUAAAAGCUCACCAAGGCGACGAUCCUUAGCUGGUCUGAGAGGAUGAUCAGCCACACUGGGACUGAGACACGGCCCAGACUCCUACGGGAGGCAGCAGUGGGGAAUAUUGGACAAUGGGCGAAAGCCUGAUCCAGCAAUGCCGCGUGAGUGAUGAAGGCCUUAGGGUUGUAAAGCUCUUUUACCCGGGAUGAUAAUGACAGUACCGGGAGAAUAAGCUCCGGCUAACUCCGCGCCAGCAGCCGC
rnacentral:rRNA from 1 species